GUCGAGGGGUAUGCUUCUUCGGGAGCAGAGACCGGCGCACGGGUGCGUAACGCGUAUGCAAUCUACCUUUUACAGAGGGAUAGCCCAGAGAAAUUUGGAUUAAUACCUCAUAGUAUAAUAGCUCGGCAUCGAGCAAUUAUUAAAGUCACAACGGUAAAAGAUGAGCAUGCGUCCCAUUAGCUAGUUGGUAAGGUAACGGCUUACCAAGGCUACGAUGGGUAGGGGUCCUGAGAGGGAGAUCCCCCACACUGGUACUGAGACACGGACCAGACUCCUACGGGAGGCAGCAGUGAGGAAUAUUGGACAAUGGGCGCAAGCCUGAUCCAGCCAUGCCGCGUGCAGGAUGACGGUCCUAUGGAUUGUAAACUGCUUUUGUACAGGAAGAAACAGUUCUACGUGUAGAACCUUGACGGUACUGUAAGAAUAAGGAUCGGCUAACUCCGUGCCAGCAGCCGCGGUAAUACGGAGGAUCCAAGCGUUAUCCGGAAUCAUUGGGUUUAAAGGGUCCGUAGGCGGUUUAAUAAGUCAGUGGUGAAAGCCCAUCGCUCAACGGUGGAACGGCCAUUGAUACUGUUAAACUUGAAUUAUUAGGAAGUAACUAGAAUAUGUAGUGUAGCGGUGAAAUGCUUAGAGAUUACAUGGAAUACCAAUUGCGAAGGCAGGUUACUACUAAUUGAUUGACGCUGAUGGACGAAAGCGUGGGUAGCGAACAGGAUUAGAUACCCUGGUAGUCCACGCCGUAAACGAUGGAUACUAGCUGUUGGGAGCAAUUUCAGUGGCUAAGCGAAAGUGAUAAGUAUCCCACCUGGGGAGUACGUUCGCAAGAAUGAAACUCAAAGGAAUUGACGGGGGCCCGCACAAGCGGUGGAGCAUGUGGUUUAAUUCGAUGAUACGCGAGGAACCUUACCAAGGCUUAAAUGUAGAUUGACCGGUUUGGAAACAGAUCUUUCGCAAGACAAUUUACAAGGUGCUGCAUGGUUGUCGUCAGCUCGUGCCGUGAGGUGUCAGGUUAAGUCCUAUAACGAGCGCAACCCCUGUUG
rnacentral:rRNA from 1 species